rnacentral:rRNA from 1 species
CCUGCCUAUACGUGUCGAGUCGAACGAACUCUGGUAUUGAUUGGUGCUUGCAUCAUGAUUUACAUUUGAGUGAGUGGCGAACUGGUGAGUAACACGUGGGAAACCUGCCCAGAAGCGGGGGAUAACACCUGGAAACAGAUGCUAAUACCGCAUAACAACUUGGACCGCAUGGUCCGAGUUUGAAAGAUGGCUUCGGCUAUCACUUUUGGAUGGUCCCGCGGCGUAUUAGCUAGAUGGUGGGGUAACGGCUCACCAUGGCAAUGAUACGUAGCCGACCUGAGAGGGUAAUCGGCCACAUUGGGACUGAGACACGGCCCAAACUCCUACGGGAGGCAGCAGUAGGGAAUCUUCCACAAUGGACGAAAGUCUGAUGGAGCAACGCCGCGUGAGUGAAGAAGGGUUUCGGCUCGUAAAACUCUGUUGUUAAAGAAGAACAUAUCUGAGAGUAACUGUUCAGGUAUUGACGGUAUUUAACCAGAAAGCCACGGCUAACUACGUGCCAGCAGCCGCGGUAAUACGUAGGUGGCAAGCGUUGUCCGGAUUUAUUGGGCGUAAAGCGAGCGCAGGCGGUUUUUUAAGUCUGAUGUGAAAGCCUUCGGCUCAACCGAAGAAGUGCAUCGGAAACUGGGAAACUUGAGUGCAGAAGAGGACAGUGGAACUCCAUGUGUAGCGGUGAAAUGCGUAGAUAUAUGGAAGAACACCAGUGGCGAAGGCGGCUGUCUGGUCUGUAACUGACGCUGAGGCUCGAAAGUAUGGGUAGCAAACAGGAUUAGAUACCCUGGUAGUCCAUACCGUAAACGAUGAAUGCUAAGUGUGGAGGGUUUCCGCCCUUCAGUGCUGCAGCUAACGCAUUAAGCAUUCCGCCUGGGGAGUACGGCCGCAAGGCUGAAACUCAAAGGAAUUGACGGGGGCCCGCACAAGCGGUGGAGCAUGUGGUUUAAUUCGAAGCUACGCGAAGAACCUUACCAGGUCUUGACAUACUAUGCAAAUCUAAGAGAUUAGACGUUCCCUUCGGGGACAUGGAUACAGGUGGUGCAUGGUUGUCGUCAGCUCGUGUCGUGAGAUGUUGGGUUAAGUCCCGCAACGAGCGCAACCCUUAUUAUCAGUUGCCAGCAUUAAGUUGGGCACUCUGGUGAGACUGCCGGUGACAAACCGGAGGAAGGUGGGGAUGACGUCAAAUCAUCAUGCCCCUUAUGACCUGGGCUACACACGUGCUACAAUGGAUGGUACAACGAGUUGCGAACUCGCGAGAGUAAGCUAAUCUCUUAAAGCCAUUCUCAGUUCGGAUUGUAGGCUGCAACUCGCCUACAUGAAGUCGGAAUCGCUAGUAAUCGCGGAUCAGCAUGCCGCGGUGAAUACGUUCCCGGGCCUUGUACACACCGCCCGUCACACCAUGAGAGUUUGUAACACCCAAAGUCGGUGGGGUAACCUAUUAGAAACACAGCUCGCCGAUAGU